rnacentral:rRNA from 1 species
GCUUACGGCCAUACCACCCUGAACACGCCCGAUCUCGUCCGAUCUCGGAAGCUAAGCAGGGUCGGGCCUGUUAGUACUUGGAUGGAGACCGCCUGGGAAUACCAGGUGCUGUAAGCU